rnacentral:tRNA from 1 species
AUAUUAGUAAUUUAAUUAAAAUAUUAGUUUUGUAAACUAUUAAUGGACUUUAAAUCCCUAAUAUA